rnacentral:rRNA from 1 species
AUUGAACGAUGGAGGAAGGCCUAACAUAUGCACGCUGAACGAGUGGCGGACGGGUGAGUAAUGUUGGGGAAACUGCAUGAAGGAGGGGGUUAACUACUGGAAACGGUAGCUAAUACCGCAUACCAUCGGAUGUGCCCAGAUUGGAUUAGCUAGUAGGUGGGGUAAAGGCUCACUUAGGCGACGAUCCCUAGCUGGUCUGCGAGGAUGACCAGCCACACUGAAACGGAGACACGGUCCAGACUCCUACGGGAGGCAGCAGUGGGUAAUAUUGCACAAUGGGCGCAAGCCUGAUGCAGCCAUGCCGCGUGUAUGAAGAAGGCCUUCGGGUUGUAAAGUACUUUCAGCGGGGAGGCGUUACCCGCAGAAGAAGCACCGGCUAACUCCGUGCCAGCAGCCGCGGUAAUAC